CCUACGGGAGGCAGCAGUGAGGAAUAUUGGUCAAUGGCCGCGAGGCUGAACCAGCCAAGUAGCGUGAGGGAUGACUGCCCUACGGGUUGUAAACUUCUUUUGUCAAGGAGCAAAGAGAGGCACGUGUGCCGUUUUGUGAGUACUUGGUGAAAAAGGAUCGGCUAACUCCGUGCCAGCAGCCGCGGUAAUACGGAGGAUCCGAGCGUUAUCCGGGUUUAUUGGGUUUAAAGGGAGCGUAGAUGGGUUGUGAAGUCAGUUGUGAAAGUGAGAGGCUCAACCGUAAAAUCGCAAUUGAUACUGCCAGUCUUGAGUGCAGUUGAGGUAGGCGGAAUGCGUGGUGUAGCGGUGAAAUGCUUAGAUAUCACGCAGAACUCCGAUUGCGAAGGCAGCUUACUAACCUGCAACUGACAUUGAUGCUCGAAAGUGUGGGUAUCAAACAGGAUUAGAUACCCCUGUAGUC
rnacentral:rRNA from 1 species